rnacentral:tRNA from 1 species
AAUUUUUUAGUAUUCUUUGUACAUUUAGCUUCCAACUAAAAAGACUAUUCUCAUAGAAAAAUUA